rnacentral:lncRNA from 1 species
UUCUCUGCACAAUACUUGCUGGUGAGUGUCUUUUUCUUUGAUUCAUUCAGAAAUGAGUCAUAUGAUGCUUCUCAAAGUUGGAUCAUUGAUGCCACUGGUUUUGUGUCCAGCAGCUGUUGGUGACCCAUCCUGAUCAGUUCUUUCUACUUGCCACCUGCUGUCCACCGUUGCCUUCAAGGCAUUACUGAAGGGUGUGGAUGAGGUUCUGUUCUAGGGAGGGUCCAUUUGAGCAUUCAACAGCUGUGCAGCGGUGCAGCAGAGGAAGCAAACGGCAAGUGAAAGCAGUGGAGAGUGAGGCCACAUGACUGUGUCUGAAAUCGGGGGGAAGGAGAACGCACUCCUUAAAGCCUUCUCUGUGGACACUGAAAUCCUGAAAACCCAGCAUUGUUCCCCCAGGUAGCGGCCUUGUUGUCUGGGGUCACCGGCUCCAUGACCAGAGCUGUUAGUCCACAUCCUGAGAAGUCCCUUCAGAUGCUCCAUUUGCACAGAACAGCAGCUGUAAAAUCUCUGAGUAAAGCAAUUGAACGUGGAUGGUGAAGGAUGCCUAGGAAGAAGUGAAGUGGAUUGUUUGCCAGGUCAAGGAUGGUAAUCUAAUCAAGAUGCGAUUAAAAUGAAUGCAAAUAGAAUCUUCA